rnacentral:rRNA from 1 species
CACGUAGUUAGCCGGAGCUUUCUUGAAAGGUACCGUCACUCCUAAGUCAUUUCCUACUUAGUUCUUUCUUCCCUAACAACAGAAGUUUACAAUCCAUAGGACCGUCAUCCUUCACGCGGCAUUGCUCGUUCAGGGUUUCCCCCAUUGACGAAUAUUCCUAACUGCUGUCUCCCGUAGGAGUCUGGGCCGUGUCUCAGUCCCAGUGUGGCCGAUCACCCUCUCAGGUCGGCUACGCAUCGUCGCCUUGGUAAGCCAUUACCUCACCAACUAGCUAAUACGGCGCAGGCUCAUCUUCAAGCGAAGCUUUAAAGGCUCCUUUUAAUAUAAACAGACGCAUCUGCUUAUAUAUAAUUCGGCAUUAGCAAUCAUUUCUAAUUGUUAUUCCAAACUCGAAGGUAGAUUACCCACGUGUUACUCACCCUUGCGCCACUAGAUGGGAAUCCAUUUCCAAUUUUGUGCAAGCACUCCAUCUUCAUUGGGCCAUCUCGUUCGACUUGCAUGUCUUA